rnacentral:misc_RNA from 1 species
UGAAACACCAACGACCGAUGUACAGUUAUUUCACGAGAGAAUAAGCAAAGAAAUGGUGAGAAGCUGUCACCAACUAAUGCUGGAGUAUCUGAUAGACAUGUGUCCAUCAGCUCGGCCAAAGCACCCAUCAGUUGUGCCACCAACAGCUCCUCCGAGCCCAGUUGGCGUCCUUGAUGCAGCUGCUUGCGGGAGUUGUGACACGCGUUCCGAGCUCCCCAACUCCAUUAGCCAAGCCGAAGCUGAGCCACUA